AUGCUGGUAAGCCACAUUCCCAUAAAAUCCCGGGCAAUUAAAAUGUUGUUUUCUGCUUCCUCCUUCCUGAAUGUGAGACAGAAAAUGAAGACACAUUUUACAAAAUGUUCUAUGGUGGAUACUUUAUGAACUGGCAGCGCUGGAGAUGUCUUCUAGCAGCCCUUAUAUGUAUGCAAGUGGACAGAAGUGUUUCCUAUCUAACCAUCACAUCACAACCAUUGAAGCCAACUGUGGGUCAAACUGUGUUGCUGAAUGUUAAGUAUGGAGAUGCAAUCCGAGAUAUCAGCUGGUACAAAGGAGAGAGAAGAGAGCCAUCAAUGAAUAUUCUGAAAUACACACCUAAACCCUAUAACACUACGACUUAUGGACCAAUGUUUACUGGGAGAGAGAAAAUCAUGGAUAAUGGAUCAUUGCAGAUAUCAAACCUCACAACCUCCGAUAGUGGAAUCUACACUCUAGUGGUUACUACUGUAAAAUCUAUGAUAACUGAUAAUAUUCAGCUGACUGUGAAAUCUGCCGUUCGAAGUUAUCCACUUCCAGGUCCUCCUACCAGAUCUCCACUACCUCUAUCUACCACUGUUGUUAGACUGGGAGACAACAACUAUAAUGCGGUUAUAGGCAUUGCAAUUGGAUUACUAGCUGCAGUUAUAGUAGCUGUGGUUGUGGCAGUACUUUUGUAUAGAAGAUUUCACAGAUCACCAAAGGCUACAGUUUGUGAGAAACCAUCUCUAAAUGUUACCUAUAAACAACAAACAAAUAAAGGGAGAAGAUUGCCUUCUAUUCCCCGAAACGCUCCGACAUACCAGAAUGAACAAGCUGGAAUUAAUGAUGAAGAACAUCCAUAUACUGAUCUUACAUACAUCUAUUUAGAGAGUUCAUAUGACAACCUUCAGAGACCACAGCAGUAACACUAGAUGAUACAAUGAAAUGAUUUACAGUACAUAAAGAAGUAUAUCUUGCCACUGCCAGUGACAUUGUGGACUUAUGAAAAUUCAACCAAGAAGCUUUGAAGAUACACAGAUAUCAACUAUAUAUCUCAAUGGGGUGUAGUAUGGUAUGCCGGCGGCUGGGAUCCUGACCGCCAGCAUACCGGCAGCUGGUAGAGCGCAAAUGAGACCCUUGUGGGCACGGUGGCGCACUAUGCGUGCCACGCUGUUUAUUCUCCCUCCAGGGGGGUCGUGGACCCCCAAGAGGGAGCAUAGUUGUUGGUAUGCCAGGUGUCGGUAUUCCGGCGCCGGUAUACUGACCGCCGGGAUCCCAACAGCCGGCAUACUGAAUACCACCCAUCUCAAUGAACCUAAUCCUGAGCUUUGGCUUUCAAAUUACUGCCCAUUCAAAGUUGAUGUCCAAAAUGUGUUAUGUGUUAUGUGUUAUGAGUACACAAGCUCUGUCUUUAUUUGUCUUUUAUUUCCUGUGUUGUAUUUUGACAUUUUAAUGUUAUUAUUACAUUGGUAUUUGUGUACCAGUAUAAAUGCACUUGCCUGUAUAAGGUGCACCUUUAUUAUAACUAUUUCUGUAGCUUCUCCAUAUUGAACAGGUCUUUACAGAUAAUAAUUAGUCACUCACACUAGUCCUUUCUCCUUCAGAGCUUACAGACUAAGGGGUACAUUUACUAAGCAGUGAUAAGAGUGGAGAAGUGAGCCAGUGGAUACAUUUCAACCAAUCAGCAGAUCUGUAUCAUUUUAUAAUAUGCAAAUUAUAGAUGUUACUUCAGUGCUGAUUGGUUGCCAUGGGCAUCUUCUCCACUGGCUCAUGUCUCCGCCUUUAUCCCUGCUUAGUAAAUGUACCCCUUAAUUCUGUAUCGCACAAUACACACAUUUUGUCAGCAGCCAAUAAACAUACCAGAAUGAUUUUGGACUGUAGGAGAAAGCCAUAGCUGUGAGGAAACUGGAGGGCAUAUUUUGUUUUUUGCACCAUGCCAGCUAACCUGGUAGCAGUGUUAAGCUGGGUACACCCUAGAUGACGGAUCGGAACAACACAUCGUUAUAAAUGUCUAGUGUGUACGCACUAUGUCGCUGAGGGUGCGUGCUCCCAUAUGUCAUCAGUGACAUCCUCCAUCAGACCUACAUCGCUGGCAUCGGCAAGUGUGUAUGCACUUGUUAAUGCCGGCACCUCCGCCGGGUCAUGUCGCCACCAAUGUCAUGUUUGGCACACAUCGUCUAAUGUGUACCCAGCAUUAUGCUUCAGCCUAGGAUGCACAGUAGCUUUAGGAGCUCGGAGGUUAUACACAAAAAUAGGCUUUAUUGCACAAAGUCAACUCAUAUAAUACAAAUGCCAGGGGAUUUACCAACAGAGACGGCCAUAGGCAUAGGCAAACUAGGCAAUUGCCUAGGGCAUUUGAUAUGCCUAGGGGCAUCAUCAGCUUCUGCUGAUUAAAAUGAUAUGCGGCAUGCCUAUAUUCUGUAUGUGGCAUUUCAUAUGCAGAUACAGCCACAGUCUCACACAGUAUAUAGGCAUGCCGCAUAUCAUUUUAAUUAGCAGAAGCUGCUUGUGCAUCCUAGCCACAUAGCAAUGCAAAUAAGAUGCAUUUUCAUAAUAAAUAGGCACCAGAUGUUAGCAGAGCUGCCAGAUGACACGCCAGGAACUAUAUGUGUCAUUAUGUGUAUAAGGGCAUUAAUAAUGUGUAACAUAUGUGUAAGGGGCACUAUGUGUGUCAUUAUGUGUAUAAGGGCACUAAUAAUGUACGGCAUAUGUGUAAGGGACAUUAUGUGUGUCAUUAUGUGUAUAAAGGCAUUAACAAUGUGUGGCACAUGUGUAAGGGAAAUUAUGUGUAUAAGGGCAUUAAUAAGGGUUGUCAUAAUGUGUAAUGCGCAUUAUGUUUAUAAGGACAUUAAUAAUGUGUGUCAUAUGUGUAAGGGGCAUUACUGUGUGGUAUUAUGUGUAUAAAUGCAUUACCAAUGUGUGGAAUUAUGUGUAUAAGGUGCUCUACUGUGUGGCAUAACGUAUAGAAAGGGCACUACUGUGUGGUCUAAUGUGAAUAAAGAGCAAUAUGGCGUGGUGUAAUGAGAAUAAAGAGCAAUAUGGUGUGGUGUAAUGUGAAUAAGGAGCAAUAUGGUGUGGUGUAAUGAGAAUAAAGUGCAAUAUGGUGUGGUGUAAUGUGAAUAAGGAGCAAUUCAGUAUGAUGUUAUGUGAAUGAGGGGUAACCUAUAUAAGGUAAAGUGCAUAGGUGUGCGCAGGGGGUGUGUGCGCAGGGGGGGGGGUGCGCUGGUGUGCACAGGCACCUCCUAAUGUCUGGCAGCCCGAUCUCACAUUCCUGAUGCAGCGAUAGCCGAGCAGGCUGAUUACUGUCCCAUCUGCGCUGCACCCUGUCAGGACUGCAUUACUGACCAGACGCCUGGGUUAAUCAAGGGUGCCACUGCCACCGGCUUUCAAUCUCCCGACUCCACCUCCAUGUACAAAGACAGCGUGAUCUGACGUGAUUACGUCAUGCUGCUCGCACACUCACCCGUCACACCCGCCACAUGCCCACCUCUCUCCUUCUAUGCUAUUCCAACGCCAGCCACUGAUGAGGAGCAGCAUGUAGCCAGCGUUCCUUUUAGGAAGACAAAUUCAAUACUGGCAGGCGGUCGGCAGCAGUAUUGACACGUCACUCGUUUUUCCUGCAGCAGCAGUACUAGUCUGCGACUGUCAGUGUCAGUGAGUGACUGACUUGUAAGUAAGCUGCUGCAGCUUGCAGGGGAAAGAGAGGGGGAGCCAGACCAGGCUGAGGAGGAGCACUGUAAUUGCAGUGAGUGCCAUCAGGGGUGUUUGUUUGGUGCACACCACAACAUCUGACAAUGUAUUUGCUUUAUUAGGAUUGGUCCAAGGGUGGAUAUUUUAUAUUGCAUUGACCGUCAAUAGAUGGUGCUAGACACGCCCAAAAGGCGGUGCUAUACACACCCCUCCGACGGUGCACCCCUUAAUAAAAUGUGCUGCGCACGCCUAUGGUAAAGUGGUACUACUGUGUGAUGUAAUGUGAAUAAGGGACACUAUCGCAUUAUAAAUUGUGAAUAAAGUUGCACUACUGUGAGGCAUAAGUUGAAUUGGGGUUACUUGUGUGUUCAUGCCCCUUGCCAGCAAAACCACAUACCUUUUUGGGCUGUGUGCCGAAUGUGCACACUGUUCUUAUUUAAAUUACAGGGGGUAGGGAAAAAAAAGGACUGCUAUGGGUGGGGGGUGAUGGUGCUGGGAAAGGGGUGCAGGGUCAGAGGCGGAACUAGCGGUGGUGCUAGGCGGCACCAGCCAAAAUCUUGCCUAGGGCAUCAUAUUGGUUAGGGCCGGCUCUGGCUAGCUUUACUGGGUGGCUGGUUCCGUGGGUGCUCCUCUGUGUCCGUGGGUGCUUAGGCCCAGGAGCAUCUACGGAAUCAGUGAAUAUGAGACCCGUUAUGUCAAAUUAAAGUGAAUAUUUCUUUUUCUGGGCUGUCUGAUAACCAUUCACCAGUAAAAAUUAAGGAUCAACAGAUUUGCAUAAAAAGAGAGACCUCUUUUUGUAUCAUGAAUUAAUAGCUGUAAUGAUAAUUGUUACUUUUUAGAAUGAACAAGCUGGAAUUAAUGAUGAAGAACAUCCAUAUACUGAUCUUACAUACAUCUAUUUAGAGAGUUCAUAUGACAACCUUCAGAGACCACAGCAGUAACACUAGAUGAUACAAUGAAAUGAUUUACAGUACAUAAAGAAGUAUAUCUUGCCACUGCCAGUGACAUUGUGGACUUAUGAAAAUUCAACCAAGAAGCUUUGAAGAUACACAGAUAUCAACUAUAUAUCUCAAUGGGGUGUAGUAUGGUAUGCCGGCGGCUGGGAUCCUGACCGCCAGCAUACCGGCAGCUGGUAGAGCGCAAAUGAGACCCUUGUGGGCACGGUGGCGCACUAUGCGUGCCACGCUGUUUAUUCUCCCUCCAGGGGGGUCGUGGACCCCCAAGAGGGAGCAUAGUUGUUGGUAUGCCAGGUGUCGGUAUUCCGGCGCCGGUAUACUGACCGCCGGGAUCCCAACAGCCGGCAUACUGAAUACCACCCAUCUCAAUGAACCUAAUCCUGAGCUUUGGCUUUCAAAUUACUGCCCAUUCAAAGUUGAUGUCCAAAAUGUGUUAUGUGUUAUGUGUUAUGAGUACACAAGCUCUGUCUUUAUUUGUCUUUUAUUUCCUGUGUUGUAUUUUGACAUUUUAAUGUUAUUAUUACAUUGGUAUUUGUGUACCAGUAUAAAUGCACUUGCCUGUAUAAGGUGCACCUUUAUUAUAACUAUUUCUGUAGCUUCUCCAUAUUGAACAGGUCUUUACAGAUAAUAAUUAGUCACUCACACUAGUCCUUUCUCCUUCAGAGCUUACAGACUAAGGGGUACAUUUACUAAGCAGUGAUAAGAGUGGAGAAGUGAGCCAGUGGAUACAUUUCAACCAAUCAGCAGAUCUGUAUCAUUUUAUAAUAUGCAAAUUAUAGAUGUUACUUCAGUGCUGAUUGGUUGCCAUGGGCAUCUUCUCCACUGGCUCAUGUCUCCGCCUUUAUCCCUGCUUAGUAAAUGUACCCCUUAAUUCUGUAUCGCACAAUACACACAUUUUGUCAGCAGCCAAUAAACAUACCAGAAUGAUUUUGGACUGUAGGAGAAAGCCAUAGCUGUGAGGAAACUGGAGGGCAUAUUUUGUUUUUUGCACCAUGCCAGCUAACCUGGUAGCAGUGUUAAGCUGGGUACACCCUAGAUGACGGAUCGGAACAACACAUCGUUAUAAAUGUCUAGUGUGUACGCACUAUGUCGCUGAGGGUGCGUGCUCCCAUAUGUCAUCAGUGACAUCCUCCAUCAGACCUACAUCGCUGGCAUCGGCAAGUGUGUAUGCACUUGUUAAUGCCGGCACCUCCGCCGGGUCAUGUCGCCACCAAUGUCAUGUUUGGCACACAUCGUCUAAUGUGUACCCAGCAUUAUGCUUCAGCCUAGGAUGCACAGUAGCUUUAGGAGCUCGGAGGUUAUACACAAAAAUAGGCUUUAUUGCACAAAGUCAACUCAUAUAAUACAAAUGCCAGGGGAUUUACCAACAGAGACGGCCAUAGGCAUAGGCAAACUAGGCAAUUGCCUAGGGCAUUUGAUAUGCCUAGGGGCAUCAUCAGCUUCUGCUGAUUAAAAUGAUAUGCGGCAUGCCUAUAUUCUGUAUGUGGCAUUUCAUAUGCAGAUACAGCCACAGUCUCACACAGUAUAUAGGCAUGCUGCAUAUCAGUUUAAUCAGCAAUAGCUUCUUGUGCAUCCUAGCCACAUAGCAAUGCAAAUAAGAUGCAUUUUCAUUAAAAAAAAGGUGCCCGACGUUAGCAUUGAUGCAAGAUUUGUAAGGACACAUCUGUAUCCAAGCAGAGGCAGAGGUCACAGUGUUAGUGGAAGUGUGAGUGCUAUGUGCAUGUAGUGUUCGGAAUGUGUGUAAGGAGCAUUAUGUGUGUCAUGUAAAAAUGCAUUAAUAAUGUGCAACAUAUGUGUAAAGGGCCACUAUGUGUGUCAUUAUGUGUAUAAGGGCAUUAAUAAUAUGCGGCAUAUGUGUAAGGGACAUUAUGUGUAAAAGGGCAUUAAUAAAGGUUGUCAUAAUGUGUAAGGUGCAUUAUGUUUAUAAGGACAUUAAUGUGCCUCAUAUGUGUAAGGGGCAUUACUGUGUGGAAUUGUGUAUAAAUGCAUUACUAAUGUGUGGCAUUAUGUGUAUAAGGUGCUCUACUAUGUGGCGUUGCAUAUAGAAAGGGCACUACUGUGUCGUCUAAUGUGAAUAAAGAGCAAUAAGGUGUGGUGUAAUGUGAAUAAGGAGCAAUUCAGUGUGAUGUAAUGUGAAUAAGGGGCUCUACUGUGAGAAAUAACGUUUAUAAGGUAAAGUGAUACUACUGUGCAAUG